ACUGCUCCCAUCUUGGAUGUGAGGGAAGGGGUGAGGACUCCAAGGUGAUUUCUGACCUGAUCCCAUUCUCAGGACAGGUUAGACAGAGGAAGGAUUGGCCAUGAAAAGGAACAUGAGUGCAUGGCCCAGAGCAGCUUUGCGCACACACCUGAGUGAAAGCCAAAAGUUCCUUGUGGAGGAACCACUGUUCUUACUAGAGUGAAAGGGAAGCAAUUCUGCCUGGUUUCUCAGUCAGUGAGAAGAUCUGUGACAAGAGGAGCUAGAGAACAUUAAUUGGAACGUCAGUCUAGCAACCUAUUCCACAGGACAUCAGAGGUUUGAGUUCAAGGUGCCCAAAUUAGAACCACCAAAACCUCAAGGUGACAGAAACAUUGCCCUGUAAGUACAGCCAUUUGGAGCUUAAAGCCUGAAGAGGUGGCCAUUCCCAAGGUCAUUUCAGUCAGCACCAACUCACAGGAGGAAGUUACUCAGACUGUUCACAAGAAUCCCAUGAGAAGUGGGGGACAGGUAUGGAUGCCUUCUCACCUACACAAGCUACCGUGCCCCUCACAGAUACAGGAAGCAUACACAGUGGAAGAUCUCGGUGAGCCAAGAUCGCUGUCCUGGGCUGCUUUGAUACAGACACUGUACCCGCCAUAUCCUAAAGCUUCCUUCUCUCUGAGCUCCACCUGUCCCACUCCUGUGGUUCUGACUUGGUCUCCCUGGCUGCCUUUCUUCCUGACCUCUAAGAUGUCACCUUGACACUUGCUCAAAGUUCUAUUCCCCAAUGGUCCUUGAAGUGUGAAGAAGUCACAUGAGCUUUCCCCAGCCCCUCCCCUCCAGUUUCUCUCCAAAGGCAUCACUAUUCUAGUCAUCCUGGCACACAACUUUGUGUUUCAACUUUUUUGUUUGUUUGCUUUUCGAGACAAGGUUUCUCUGUCUAACAGCCAUGGAUGCCCUUCAUGUCACUCCGUAGAUCAGACUGGCCUUGAACGCACAGACAUCUGCCUGCCUCUGCCUCCCGAGUGUGGGGAUUAAAGGCCUGCG